AAGAAAACGGGGCGAGCGGCCGCGUAAGUGUGUGGGGUGGAAGAGGUGUCCGCAAGGACGUGGCGGAAAGCUCGUUCGGGCGGCUAGUUCCGUCCGGGGUGAAAGCCCAGAGCUCAACUCUGGGACGGCCGGUGAGACGGGAUAGGUUGAGGAGCGGAGAGGCAAGGUGAAUUCCACGUGGAGCGGUGAAAUGCGUAUAGAUGUGGAGGAACACCUGUGGCGAAGUCGCCGUGCUGGCCGAUUUCUGACGCUGAGGCGCGAAAGCGUGGGGAGCAAACAGGAUUAGAUACCCCAGUAGUC
rnacentral:rRNA from 1 species